rnacentral:rRNA from 1 species
UUAGGUACCCAUUUAUGCCGAUGUAAACUUUGCUAUCUGCAGGGGGACUACGAGUGCUUAAAACUCAAAGAACUUGGCGGCUUGUUAACUACCUAGGGGAAUAUGUGCCUUUAUCCGAUGUUACGCGAAUAUCUUACUAGACUUAGAAUAGCAGUUGGUGUAUUGCCGUUGUCAGCUUGUUGUUGAGCAAAGAGAAACAGGCUAAAGAUCCAUGAAUUCAGGUCGAAAUGCCGCCUAUAGUCUAGGGAGCGGGUAUUACAAUUGAAACUUUCAAUACGGAUUGGGGAAAAUGAAGGUGAACUUAGGAGUAAAGAGAAAUUAAUAUGUUUUCUUGAACUGAAUCUAGCUUGUGUACAAACUGCCCGUCGCUCUCGGU